rnacentral:rRNA from 1 species
UUUUUUUUUUAGGAUAAAUGUACAAGGUUCCGUAGGGGACCUGCGGAAGGAAUCAUUACCGUAGGGGGGUAACACCCCCUCCGAGAUACCACCCCUGACUUUUCAAGCACUAUUCGUUUCCUCGGCGGGUUCGCCCGCCAGCUGGACAACACCAAAACCCCAGUUGCAAUAGCAGUAUCCUCUGAUAAAGCCAAACAAAAAGUUAAAACUUUCAACAACGGAUCUCUUGGUUCUGGCAUCGAUGAAGAACGCAGCGAAAUGCGAUAAGUAGUGUGAAUUGCAGAAUUCCAGUGAAUCAUCGAAUCUUUGAACGCACAUUGCGCCCUUUGGUAUUCCUUAGGGCAUGCCUGUUCGAGCGUCAUUACACUGCUCAAGCCCCGCUUGGUGUUGGGCGCUUGUCCCCCCCGGGACUCGCCUUAAAUACAUUGGCAGCCGGUACGUUGGCUUCGAGCGCAGCAGAAACGCGCCCGGCGUCUGGCGGUGCCUGGCUAUCCAGGAAGCCACCCCCCCAAGUUUGACCUCGGAUCAGGUAGGGAUACCCGCUGAACUUAAGCAUAUCAAUAAGCGGAGGAAAAGAAACCAACAGGGAUUGCCCUAGUAACGGCGAGUGAAGCGGCAACAGCUCAAAUUUGAAAUCUGGCCCUUUCAGGGCCCGAGUUGUAAUUUGUAGAGGGUGCUUUGGCGUCGGCUGCGGUCUAAGUUCCUUGGAACAGGACGUCACAGAGGGUGAGAAUCCCGUACGUGGCCGCCAGUCUUCGCCGUGUAAAGCCCCUUCGACGAGUCGAGUUUGUUUGGGAAUGCAGCUCUAAAUGGGAGGUAAAAUUUCUUCUAAAGCUAAAAUACUGGCCAGAGACCGAUAGCGCACAAGUUAGAGUGAUCGAAAAGAUGAAAAGCACUUUGGAAAGAGAGUCAAAAAGCACGUGAAAAUUGUUGAAAGGGAAGCGCUUGCAGCCAGACUCGCCCGUAGUUGCUUCAUCCGGGCUCUUGGCCCGGUGCACUUCUUCUGCGGGCGGGCCAGCAUCAGUUCGAGGCGGCCGGAUAAAGACCUCUGGUCACGUAUCUUCCUUCGGGAUGACCUUAUAGGGGAGGUGUAAUGCGGCCAGCUCGGAUUGAGGUCCGCGCUCUGCUAGAUGUCGCGAACGUUAACGGCCUCUUGUAAACGAAAAA